GUAAAAUUUAAUUUAGGUAAUCUUGCCGACACUACUUUGGAGUUUGGAAUCGCUUACAAUAGUUCCGUGAGAAAUAAUAGUUAAUCCUACGAUUCGUCAUAACUGAUCAGUUUCAUUGUUGUGUACGUAAAUAAUGUGCAUACGUAUGGGUCUGCUGCCCAAUAUAAAAAUAAGAAAAA